CGUUGAGCUUCAUUACCUUAUGGUCCCUUCGUACCUCUCUUAUAAAGAGGUUGGGUUGUAGGCUAUUAGUCGGAAUCUAUAGGUUAUUAGGCUUAAUUUUUUAGAUCGUUGGAUCACGUUCUGACCAUUUUGUGAGAAGGAUAAUCCACCUGCCAACUUUCAUAUCAAGAUUUUUAGUCAUGAAUGUUUGUUGUGGGUUUCAUCCACAUAGAAAAUUGAGUUGGCGGUCUGAAACGGGCACAAGAUUAAGAUCCUGGGUUUGGAUCUAGUGCAACUUUGCCGAGUCGCUCUAAGUGUGCCUCAAAG
rnacentral:lncRNA from 1 species